rnacentral:lncRNA from 1 species
GAAAAUGAAACGAUAUUAUAAUCACAUAGUUACUACAAGUGGGGCGGGUUCAUCUUCAAUGAUUAAUGGUCCUAACGCACGUGUGGAACCUGAAGCAUCACCAAAAGAAGUGAAUAUUGAAGUUGAUCUUCAGCUUGAACCAUCUUCGAAAGUGGUUGAUUUAUUAAAUCUUCCAAGUGAUCCGGGACUACGGCCUAACAUAAUGAGCUAUCCUCCAAACAUGAUUGAGCAGGUGCGUAGAGCUUACUUAUUAAAAGGUCCAUGUCAACCGCGUAAUCAUGAUUUUCCACAGAAGAUAGAGGCCAAUAGAAAGCGAAAAUUUGUUUCAGCUUGGUUUGAUGAAUUCAAGAUGUGGUUGGAAUAUAGUAUUGCAAAAGAUGCUGCUUUUUGCUUAUAUUGUUAUUUGUUUUCAUCGGGUAGUAGCGAAAAAGGACAUGAUGCUUUUAUAUCUGGAGGGUUUAAUACUUGGCGCAAGAAAGAACAAGAUAUUGUGAAUGCAAUGAGACUUGUUAAUGUAGCAAAAACUCGCUUGCAAGCAAUGAGAGAUAAAGAAUGGGAGAUGAUGUUAACUGACAUUUCUAAGUUUUGUAGUAAAAAUGAGAUAGAAAUGAUUGAUAUGGAAGAUGAAUAUGCACCUCGAGAAAGAGGAAGGCGUAGAGUUGAGAAAAUGACAAAUCUCCACCAUUAUCGAGUUGAGCUUUUUUACACUGUGAUUGACAUGCAGGCUUUAGAGUUAAAUCAACGUUUUGAUGAAGUCAACACAGAAUUGAUUUUAUGCAUGUCAUGUUUGGAUCCUAGAGACUAAUUUGCUGGAUUUGAUAUUGAAAAGCUAGUUCGACUUGCAAAGUUUUAUCCGUCUGAAUUUUCUGAAGUUGCUUUGUAUGAACUUGAAAGUCAGCUUGAGAACUUUAUUGUCGAUGUGCGCAUGGAUGAAAAGUUCUUAGAACUAUCAGGGAUUGGAGAUCUUGCUGAGAAGAUGGUUUCUACAAAGAAACAUGACAUUUUUCCAUUGGUGUAUUUGUUAGUUAAGUUAUCAUUGACUUUACCAGUUGCUACUGCUACAGUUGAAAGAGCCUUUUCAGCAAUGAAGAUCAUCAAGAGUGUUCUUCGCAAUCGUAUGGGAGACAAUCUUUUGAACGACUGCUUAGUACCUUACAUCGAAAAGGAUGUGUUUGUAAAUGUUACUAAUGAAGCUAUUAUGCAGAGGUUUCAGAACAUGAAAAACAGGAG